rnacentral:misc_RNA from 1 species
UUUGCAUGCAAGGUGCCAUUCUAAAUUUUCUUGUUCGUACAUAAACAUUACAACUGAAUAUCCAAUACAGUAUGAAAGCAGAAAAAUGCAAAAAGUGAACUACUACUGCCCCUAAACCCCAUCCAAACUUAGAAUAGAAAUUUCACAGAAUGAACACUCACUAAAUUGACUAAAUUUGUCAAGUACAUUUCUUUGAAAAAUGUUACAGAAAUUUUAAAUGAAAAUGCAGAGCAUCCAACCUUGUCAUAUCCCUACAAUUGACCGCUAUAAUAUGUGCGGAACCAUAUACCUUGGUUGCAGGGUAUGCACUAAUCCAAAUCAAGGAACUCCAUUCU